UGGAUAACAGGUUGAUAUUCCUGUACCACCUAUAAUCGUUUUAAUCGAUGGGGGGACGCAGUAGGAUAGGCGAAGCGUGCGAUUGGAUUGCACGUCUAAGCAGUAAGGCUGAGUAUUAGGCAAAUCCGGUACUCGUUAAGGCUGAGCUGUGAUGGGGAGAAGACAUUGUGUCUUCGAGUCGUUGAUUUCACACUGCCGAGAAAAGCCUCUAGAUAGAAAAUAGGUGCCCGUACCGCAAACCGACACAGGUAGUCAAGAUGAGAAUUCUAAGGUGAGCGAGCGAACUCUCGUUAAGGAACUCGGCAAAAUGACCCCGUAACUUCGGGAGAAGGGGUGCUCUUUAGGGUUAACGCCCAGAAGAGCCGCAGUGAAUAGGCCCAAGCGACUGUUUAUCAAAAACACAGGUCUCUGCUAAACCGUAAGGUGAUGUAUAGGGGCUGACGCCUGCCCGGUGCUGGAAGGUUAAGAGGAGUGGUUAGCUUCUGCGAAGCUACGAAUCGAAGCCCCAGUAAACGGCGGCCGUAACUAUAACGGUCCUAAGGUAGCGAAAUUCCUUGUCGGGUAAGUUCCGACCCGCACGAAAGGCGUAACGAUUUGGGCACUGUCUCAACGAGAGACUCGGUGAAAUCAUAGUACCUGUGAAGAUGCAGGUUACCCGCGACAGGACGGAAAGACCCCGUGGAGCUUUACUGUAGCCUGAUAUUGAAAUUCGGCACAGCUUGUACAGGAUAGGUAGGAGCCUUUGAAACGUGAGCGCUAGCUUACGUGGAGGCGCUGGUGGGAUACUACCCUAGCUGUGUUGGCUUUCUAACCCGCACCACUUAUCGUGGUGGGAGACAGUGUCAGGCGGGCAGUUUGACUGGGGCGGUCGCCUCCUAAAAGGUAACGGAGGCGCUCAAAGGUUCCCUCAGAAUGGUUGGAAAUCAUUCAUAGAGUGUAAAGGCAUAAGGGAGCUUGACUGCGAGACCUACAAGUCGAGCAGGGUCGAAAGACGGACUUAGUGAUCCGGUGGUUCCGCAUGGAAGGGCCAUCGCUCAACGGAUAAAAGCUACCCCGGGGAUAACAGGCUUAUCUCCCCCAAGAGUUCACAUCGACGGGGAGGUUUGGCACCUCGAUGUCGGCUCAUCGCAUCCUGGGGCUGUAGUCGGUCCCAAGGGUUGGGCUGUUCGCCCAUUAAAGCGGUACGCGAGCUGGGUUCAGAACGUCGUGAGACAGUUCGGUCCCUAUCCGUCGUGGGCGUAGGAAAUUUGAGAGGAGCUGUCCUUAGUACGAGAGGACCGGGAUGGACAUACCUCUGGUGUACCAGUUGUCGUGCCAACGGCAUAGCUGGGUAGCUAUGUGUGGACGGGAUAAGUGCUGAAAGCAUCUAAGCAUGAAGCCCCCCUCAAGAUGAGAUUUCCCAACUUCGGUUAUAAGAUCCCUCAA
rnacentral:rRNA from 1 species